UUCAAAUCAGGACUCCCCCUUUGGCAGAGACAAGGGAGGUCCUGAGCAAAUGAAAUGAGGGUGUUUUAAAUAGGAGCAGCAUGGAAGUAUUUGCAGAGAUGCUUUUGAGUAGAGCUGAGAACAGAGUAUUGAGGGACUGUAACAGAAGGAGGAAUGUUGCAGAAGAGCUACCAGAAGAAAUGCUGGCAGAGUGGUUAGAGAGAUAAGAGAAUAGAAGAAGGGGCACAGAAAGCAAGGAGAAGAGGAUCAUCCAUAUUACUGAAGUCAGAAAAAAACUCAAUGAGAAUGGGAAUGGAGCAUCGGCCCAUAAGUACAGGCAGAAAAAGAUCAUCUGAUAUUUUGACUGCUCCCCACCACAAGAGGACACAUGAAGAACCUGGAAACAAAGAACACUAAUGUGCGAGGUAGAAGCAGCUGGACCCCUGUCAGAAAAGAAGAUCAGCUCUGGCCUAAAGGACUUUACCUAAAAUUAAGGACUAAGGCCACAAGACUUUGACCCUACAGCAGGAGCAUAGCACUUCAUGAGACUUCUGUCAAAGCACAUGAUAAAAAAUAAAUAUACUCUAAUAAAAAAG